CCUCUGUCGUCCCCUUCUCCUUGCGCCCUCCAUCUUUCCCAACAUCAGGGUCUUUUCCAGGGAGUCUUCUCUUCUCAUGAGGUGGCCAAAGUGUUGGAGUCUCAGCUUCAGGAUCUGUCCUUCCAGUGAGCACUCAGGGCUGAUUUCCUUCAGAAUGGAGAGGUUGGAUCUUCUUGCAGUCCAUGGGACUCUCCAGAGUCUCCUCCAGCACCAGAAUUCAAAAGCAUCCAUUCUUCAGCGAUCAGCCUUCUUUAUGGUCCAGCUCUCACUUCCAUACAUCACUAGAG